GAUUCUGCUGUGCCGUGCACUCUGCAGAAUUUUCGCCUUUGAAAUUUCAGAUUCCAGGCUCCACUAAAUUUAGUAUGGUGGGCACUCCCGUCAAUGGGCUUGGUGCAUGUCCGCACCCUCACAGGGCUAAUUGUUUUCGGCAGCAUUCAUUCGCCAGAAAUGAAGGAAAAACAUUCAUCCCGAAAUUCCAUACACUGGAUUAUGAAUACAUUACAAGAAAACAGACGGCGGUUCAUCCACACCUACACGGCAGAAUGCAUAAACAUAGGUGUGGCAACAUGUCCCCAAGAGGCAGAAAAUCCUUUACAUACAGUACUGUGCGUGCAAAAAAGUCUAGCAAGUGUGGAAAAAUUUUUACAAAGUAAGAAUGUUUUCGAAAAUAGGAGUUUUAAAACUGGAUGAGGAACAGCCAAAC